GACAGAAAAAUAUGCCUUGGAGACUGCACACAAUUUCCUUCUACUGCUGUUUUGAAAGGUGACCCUGUUUGUAGCACGUUGUUACAGCAGCCCUAGCAAACUAACACGAGAGCGUGUGUGCCCACUGCCGCCCAAGAUGCUGGCCAAUGGGACGGGAGCUUGGCGGCCUCAGCUCAGUCUUGGAAAAUAACGGGAGCCUCCAGUUCCUGAGCGAUCUGUUAUCACUGCAGAUCGGAUUUCCAGUUUGCACGUUCCUCAGGGCUUCCUCCCAGGUGGAAGUGAGGGCGCCCUCUUCUGGCGUCUCCAGCAUCCGCCCGGCCCCUCUCGGCCGGCCACUUAGUGCCGGUUCUCCGCGGGUCUGCAAUUAGAUCCUUGAGGUCCACGCCUGCUUCAUCUUGGCGUCACCUCCACUUCCUAGGGCAGGGCUUCCCCACACAAUAGCCCCUCAGUGCACAUUUGUUGAAUAAGUGAAGGAAUGAAGGAGUUGAGAUGACUUUGAAGCUAAAAUGAGUAGACAUCUGACUUUGUGCCUAAGAGAAAAUUCUUCCUAAGGCUAAGAUUGUUAAAUAAAGGAACUGGUCCACCCA
rnacentral:lncRNA from 1 species